UGUUUAGGGGAAAAGUAUCUAGAUUACCAUGCUAAUAGUGACCGAAGAACAUGUUAUUUAAGAAUAAUCUAGUAUAUAGUGAUCUAAGAUGAUCAUAUUUUGUUAUAUAUAUGAUUGGAGGGAAUAUUUUGAAAAAUAGCAUCAUAUGAAAAAUGAAUAAUUAUUUACCUAAUGAAAUGAUAGAUGAAUUUAAGAUACUUGUUUUAUAUGUACUUAAAGAUAUAGAGAUAGUAGAUAUAAAGAAAAUUAUAUGGAAAAAAAUAUUUAAUAUUGAAGAUGAAGAAUUAGAAAAUUGGAUAGAAGAUGAAUUAGAACAAAUACAUUUAAAUGACGAUAGCUACUAUUCAUACCUAGAUAAUUACUAUUCAGAUGGAUAUCAUACAGAUUAAAAAAUGUUAGAAAAGAAUUUAAUAUUAACUAACUAUGAAAAUUACCCGAGUUAUCCGCACUCUAUGAUUGGAGAAAAUAUUUCGAAAAAUAGCAUUAUAUGAAAAUGAAUAAUUAUUUACCUAAUGAAAUGAUAGAUGAAAUUAAGAUACUUGUUUUAUAUGUACUUAAGGAUAUAGAGAUAGUAGAUAUAAAGAAAAUUAUAUGGGAAAAGAUAUUUAAUAUUGAAGAUGAAGAAUUAGAAAAUUGGAUAGAAGAUGAAUUAGAACAAAUACAUUUAAAUGACAAUAGGUACUAUUCAUACCUAGAUAAUUACUAUUCAGAUGGAUAUUAUAUAGAUUAAAAAAUGUUAGAAAAGAAUUUAAUAUUAACUAACCAAGCAAAUUACCCGAGUUAUCCGCACUCUCCGCACCCCCUACAAUUGGUAUCAGAGCUAUGUUAGUUAAAACUAAAGAAAUGAUAUUGGUAUGUUAAUUAUUAGAAAUGUUAAUUUAAUUGUUAAUUAUGAGCUAUUGUUAUCUUGUUAACUAUGCUAUUAACUAUGAGAGGACCAUUUAAAAAUACACAGACUUUUAAAGAAGUUAAAAAAAUUCGAAAUAGUAAUUAUUCAGAAUAUAAGAAACUAAAUAAAACAGACAAAAUUAAUAAUUUAUUUAAAAUAUAGAAAAAUGAGAUACACUCUACCUAACUAUGAUAAAAUUAGAUUUAGAGAUCCACCAAAAUAUUAUAAAUAUUAAUGAAUAAUAUAGACCAAUCCCAAAAAUAUAAAGAACUAAAACAAAUAUUAUUUAUGAAACGAAGAGAACUAAAAAUAAGAAAAGAAAGACUACAAUGUAACAUAAUUGUUGGAGUAUGUCAAAAAUCAACAAAAGGAAAAAUCAAUAAAAGCUCAAAAGGAAGAAAUAUCAUAUAUAGAGUCACAAAUGGAUAAUCUAGAAUACAAAUAUCAACAUGAUCUAUACACUAUCAAGUAGAUAAAAUGAACAAAGAAGAAUUUAUAAUAGAUGAAAAAAUAUAUGAAAAUCACAAAGGAUUAAAAAUAAGAAUAGUAUUUUCUAAUUUAGGAAGAAGAUAUAAGAAAAUAAGUGAAAAUUUAUAUUUAAUGUUAGAAAAAAAGAAUUAAAAUUAGAAGAUAAAUUAACAGCUAUAGUAAGAAUAGCAAGAGAAAAUAAAGAAAUACGAAAAAUAGAAGAAACUAAAAAUAAUAGGAUUGCUCAAUUAGAGAAAGAACUACAAAUGCUAAACAAUCUGCAUGAAAAAAGAGAGAAAGGAAAAGAAGAAAAGGAUAAAGAACAAAAAUUAUUAAUUUAGAUAAAUCAAUUUAAAGAAAAAUUAAAAAAUAAAGAAUUAGAUACUAAUGGAAUAGAAAUAAAUACAAUAGAUGCUGAAGAAAUAGAUAAUUAUGAUUCGGAAGAUAGUGAAACAUAUACAGAAAUCUUAACAAAUAUAGAAAAGCUAGAAAUUAAUGAAAAACAAGAAGUAAUUAAUAAAGAAAACUUAGAAAAUACAAAUACGGAAAUAAACACUCUUGACAAAAAGGACGAUGAAAAAAUAAUACCUAGUAAAUCAGAAAUGAGAAAACCUAUAUAUUAUUAUAAAGAUAGGUUUAAAAAAUAUAAACUAAAGGAUGAAUAUAAAAAAUGGACACCAAAAUAAAUAAUUAAUAAAAAUUAUAAUUUCUUAGACUUAGACUGUGUAAUAGAUGUAGAUAAAACGAUACAAUUAUAGAUAGGAUAUAUAACAAAAUAAUUAUUAGACAAUGGUAUAAAUGUAACAGAUACACUAGAAUAUAUAAAGAGAACACUAAUAGAAACAAUGGUUUUUAAAUUUAACUGAAAAAAAGGUAAAAAAGUAUUAAGGGUUGAUAAAAAAAUAGAAGGAACAACAAUAAUUAAACUAACACCUAUAGACAUAUUACAAAAAUAUGAAAUAGCUAUAAGAGAUGAAUUUAGCAGUAUGGCAACAGAAAAAGAAGAAGAAGAACAAAACAAAGAAAAAGAUACAAAUAGGAAUUUAAUGUUAAAACUACCAAUAUAUAAUAUGUGUUAUAUAGAUGAAUAUACGUGUGCAUUUAAAGAAUACUACUAUAAGAGAACAUACAAUACAGAAGAAAGUAAAGAAGUAAAAAGAUUAUAUUUUAGUAAAUUACCUGAACCAUUUAAUUCAAAAAUAAUAAAGAGUUGGGAUGAAGUGAAAAUAGAAGAUACCCUAGGAACAAAAAUAAGAUUUCUACAACAAUGAUAUAGAAAUCUAUGUGAAAAAUACAGAGAAGAAAUAAAAAUGGGAAAAACAUUAAUCAAGAAUUUAACAUAUUGCAAACAUAAACUAGCACCUUUAUUUGAAUGUGAAGAAAAAUAUUAUAAGAAAAGAAAAAGACAUAAGAAAUAUAAGAAGUAUAGAAAGUAAAAAUAUAAGUAUAAGAAACCAAGAAAAAGAUAUUAUGUAAAAAAUUAAAAUAUAAAAGACCAUAUAGGGAAAAGAAAUCUAUAAAACAAUGUACUUGUUAUAAUUAUAGAAAACUAGGACAUUUAGCUAGAGCUUUAAAAUGCCUAAAGACCCAAAAUAGAAACAAAAUAUCAGAAAUAAAGAUAGAAAAUGCAGAAUAUAUACAAAUAGAUUAUAUAGAUUACGAAUUGGAAAGUGAAGAUACUAUAUAUGUAAUUUCGAAAAAUAAAACAGAUAAUGAAAUAGAUAGUGAAUCAGAUGAAUCAAAUGACUGAAGAAGAUAUAAAAAUAAUAACAAAGGAAGAAUAUUUAAAUGAAGAAGGAGCAGAUCAGAAAAUAAUAUUUGAUAAUAAUAUAUUUGACGAGAUAAAAGAAAAAGAAUUAGAUUUAAGUGUAGAAAAAAUAUUUACAAUACCAAUAAUAAAAAACAUAGUUAGUAGACGAAAAGAAAAAUAUUACGUAGUAAGCCAAAAAGAACAUGUAAUAAAUUGUUGAUACGCAAAAGGUAAAGCUAGUACACCACUAGUAACAAAAAGAAUAAUUAAUAAAGAAAUAAAUGAUAUAAAAAGUAAAGACCCAAUAAAAUACGUACACCUCGGAGGAACGGAAAUAUUAAUAAAAGCAUGUUUUAGAGAAGGAAUAGAUACACCAAUAGAAUUAUAUUUAGCAGAUGAUAGAAUUAUAAAACCUAUAGAAAAAGUAUAAUAACUGCUAUAAGAGGAAAUUUAAUAUACCAAAAAUUUAAAUUUAUAAUAAGUGCGAAUUAUUCAGUAGCAAUAACAAAUAAAAAUAUGAUAAAUCAUUAGAUUAUAUUGAAAAAAAUCAGGAAUAGAACUAACCCCAGGAAGUAAAAUAUUUACAGAAAUAUGUAAAAAUCUAUAUGUAUUAACAACAAAACAUAAAAUAACGGAAAAAAAUAAAAUUAAUAAAAUACAAAUAGAAAGUUCUUUUGAACAAUUUGUAAAAACAAUUCAUAACAAUGAUUAUAGUUACAAAAACAUAUAUAUAGAAGAAGAUUUAGAAAUAAUAAAUGAUAGAAUAAGUACAACAAAAAGAAUAGCUUUUAAAAAACCAGAAUCAUUAGGAUCAUCGAAAAGAACAAAUUAUGAGAUAACUUCAACAGUUAAUUUAACUCAAUAUUAUAUAACGGGAACAAUAAAUGAAAAAGAAUAUUUGAUAAUCCUAAAUACAGGACAAGAAGAAAACCAUAUAGCAAAAUAUCUAGUGAAAAAUGAAGAAAUAAAAUCUAAUAUUAAUAUAUGCCCUAACCUACCAAGAAGUUUAAUAAUUAUUAAAGAUACAACUGAAAAAGAAAUAAUAAUAGGAAUAAGAAAAAUAAAAAUACAAUUUGAAAUAAAAGAAGAUAUGCAAAAAGCAGAUAUAAUAUUAGGGAUAAAAUGGUUAGAACAAGUAAAACCCUACAAUAUAGAACAUACACAAUUAACCAUAACUUACAAUAGGGAAAAAUUAUUAAUAAAGAGAGCUUUAACAUGAAAAUAUAUGUACUUAUGAAAAUAAUAGUAGAAGGAUAUUCUAAUAGGUAUUUUACACCUAUGAUAGAUACAGGAGCAAAAGCCAACUUAUGUAGAUAUAACUGUUUACCAGAAGACAAGUGGGAUAAGCUAAAAACACUAAUAGUAGUCAAAAGAUUUAAUAAUGAAGGAAGCUUAAUUACCUAUAAAGCUAGAAGUAUAAAAAUACAAGUAUGAGAUAAGAUAUUAACGAUAGAAGAGAUCUAUAAUUGUGAACUAACAUCAAAAGAUAUGCUUUUAGGAAUGUCAUUUUUAGAUAUACUAUAUCCACAUAUAAUAACUAAAACACACUGGUGGUUAACAACACCAUGUAAACAAAAGGUAAGAGCAAAAAGAAUUAUUAAUAAAAUAAGAAAGAAAGCUGACUAGAUAAAAGGAAGUGAAAAAAUCAUACAAAAGUUAGAAAAUAUAAAAAAUACUGAAGACUUAAUAAAACUAAUCAUAUUUUCAAUAAAUAAAGAAGAAAUAACUAUAUUUUCAAUAGCUAAGGUAGAAAUAAUAAAGAAAAAAUUAAGACAAUUAUACAGUAAAGAUCCAUUAAAAGGAUGGGAAAACCAUAAAACUAUUGUAAAAAUUGAGCUAAUAGAUAAAAAUAGUAUAAUAACUUAAAAAACAUUAACAUAUAACUUUGAUGAUUUGAAAGAAUUCGAAAUGCAUAGAUGAGUUAUUAGAAAAACAAUACAUACAAUAAAGUAAUAGUAAACAUAAUAGUCCAACAUUUAUAGUAAAUAAACACAGUGAACAAAAAAAGAGAAAAAGUAGAAUGGUUAUUGAUUAUAGAAACCUAAAUGCAAAAACUAUGACAUAUAAUUAUCCAAUACCAAAUAAGAUAUUAAAAAUAAGAUAGAUACAAGGAUAUAAUUAUUUAAGUAAGUUCGAUUGUAAAUCAGGAUUUUACCAUUUAAAGCUAGAAGAAGAAUCUAAAAAAUUAACUGCAUUUACAGUGCCACAAGGAUUUUAUGAAUGGAAUGUGUUACCAUUUGGAUAAAAAAAUUCACCAGGUAGAUACCAACACUUUAUGGAUAGUUAUUUCAAACAAUUACCUAAUUGUAUAGUAUACAUAGAUGAUAUACUACUAUAUACAAAAACUAAAGAGGAACAUUUUAAUUUAUUAGAUCAAUUUUUAGGUAUAAUAGAAAAUUCAGGAAUAAGUCUAAGUGAAAAGAAAGCAGAAAUAAUGAAAAACCGAAUAGAAUUUUUAGAAAUACAAAUAGAUAAAAGUUGAGUAAAAAUACAACAACAUAUAUUAAAAAAAAUUAUAAAUUCAAAAGAAGAAUUAGAUACAAAAAGGAAAUUACAAUCUUUUUUAGGAUUAAUAAACCAAGUAAGAGAAUAUAUACCAAAAUUAGUAGAAAACCUAAAGCCAUUACAGAAAAAUUAAGAAAGGAUGUAGAGUAUAAUUACAAUGUACAAGAUAAAAAAUAAGUACAAAAAAUAAAAAUACCUUGUAAAGAGUUACCAAAAUUACAAUUUCAAGACGAAAAUAAAAAAUUUAUAUAUAUAGUAGAAGCAGAUGCAAGUGAAUAUAGUUAUGGAAGAGUACUUAAAUAUAGAUAUGAAGAAGAAAAAUUAGAACAUCAUUAUAGAUACUACUCAGGAACGUUCAAUGAAAUAUAAAUAAAAUGGGAAAUAAAUAGAAAAGAAUUAUGCUCAUUAUAUAAAUGUUUAUUAGCAUUUGAGCCAUAUAUUGUAUAUAACAAGUUCAUUAUACGAACAGAUAACACACAGGUACGAUGGUCGUUAACAAGAAAAAUACAAAAUUCAGUUACAACGAAGGAAAUUCGGAGAUUAGUAUUGAAUAUAUUAAAUUUUACAUUUACGAUUGAAGUAAUCAAGACUAACAAGAAUGUUAUUGAAGAUUACAUAUCAAGACAAAGCUACCCAAACUGAUUUUAUAGAAUACGAUACUCUAGAAAAGAUACUCAAAACCCUAACUACGCUUUCACUGAAAGUGGAUAGCAUAGGAAAUAAGAUAGAAAAGCUAAAGACUAAUGAAGUUAAAUUUAAGUUUGAAGCUAUGACUCAGAUAACUUAACAAUGUGCAGAGAAAUAUUGAUCGGAAGGCAAUAAAAUUCCAAAGAUAGAAGGAGAUGUUGGGACACUCCAAAAAAACCAUAACGUUUAUCAAUCUACUUCUGUAGGUUACAAGCAAAGGAGUUAGAAGGAAUCCAAAUAUGAACUUGAACAAAAUAUUUGACAAGCCAUUUAUACCAAAAACACCAAAAGACCCUUUGUUUAUACCCUCACAAACUAUUACAUAUUUAGAUAGACUAAACCAAGACAAGAAAGCUUAUAACCACAUAACCAGAGCAUAUAUUGAAAGUAUCCACCAGAUACAAACCUACUUAAACCAUAAAAACCAGAGCUACAAACAAUCAAGAACUAAAUACGAAUUCCGAAAAGCUACAAGGAUACAAUAAGUUAAUAACAUUGACAAUAAUUAACCCAAAUCUAGUUAAAACCUAUUUCAGUUAUGGAGUACUCAAUACUUACUGUAUAUACCCAAGACGGAAGUGAAUUAUCUACUAUAUCAGAAAUAUAUAAAGCAAUUACCACUUACAAAAAGAUAACCAAAGGCAACCUAUUUUUUGUAAAGUUCUAUACGGUAACAGCAGAGAUAUUGCAUGAUGAAAUUAAACCAGUUAUACAAGUUGUGAAGAUAGAAAUGACCCGAGAUAUGAUCAUACCUGAAGAUAUUAAAUAGCAAGUUGAAAUACCCAAAAUACAUAUACCAGAUUUUUAUGAGAAUAAAAGAAUUAUUGAAAUAUCCACAAUUAUCUAGGAAUUAGCAAAUAACUACCUAAAUGGAAAUCCAAUAUGGAGUUACUAUUUAAGAGACCAGCUAAGGAUUUAUUCAAAUUCAAGAGAGUUAAGACAAGUAGAUAUGGAAGAAGUUAGACAAUGGAUAAUGACGUUGCUCAAUCCAAAAAAAUGACCAACUACAAGAGCAAUUAAGAAAAAAUUUAUUUCAGAUGAAUUAUUGACCAGAUACUGUAAAAUAAUAGGGCAUAAAUAUCCAGAACAUUUAUGUUCAAAAUGUAAUGGAUAAAAUAAUGUAAUUCCAGAAGUUCAACUAGAAUGAAAGAAGAUAGGGAUGCCAGCUAUAAGAUAAAAGAUAUAAAGCAACACAGAUCGAUGAAGGAAUAAAGUAGGAGACAAGAAGACAAUAUAUUAAAGUUAUGAAAGCGACAUAUGAAUUAUUAGAUAACUUUGUAACAUGUGAAAUAUUAGGUGAUACGUAAAUUAUUUCUUAAGUAUUUAUUAACUUUUACUAGCCUUUUUGACCUUUUUGGCCAAAAAGCCAUUAUUAGUUUUGUUUUUUGGAGGAUAACUUUAAGAUUUUCUUUUUGUAAAGUUACUUUAGUCGUUUCUACUUUUGUAAAGAUGACAAAUGUAAAGUAGGAACAAUAUAGAAUAGUGUACGUGUUUUCUCUUUUUAGGUUAUAAAUAGCAGAAGCAUUUGCUAAGUUAAGGCAAAACUUUCUACACGAAAAGCAAGCCUUCUUGUACACAAUAAAAUUUUCUCUCAUAUAAUCAAGAAGGAUAUUCAGUUUUACACUAAGCUAUGGAUGAGCAAAGCACAAAUUUAUCAAAUCUAUCAGAACAGGUAUUUUCAUUCAUAAUUAUGAAUAGCUAAAUUCAUAAAUUCCUGACAAUCAUAAGUAUUAUAAAAUAAGCUCAUGUUAGUUACUUUAUAGUAGAAUUAUUCGAAGAAUAGCAUAUUAAGAAGUUUAUUAGCAAAGUAAAAAAGGAGAGAAAUUCCUAGAACUAUGACAUCCUAAAAAUAAAACUGGUGAGGCAAAGAAGCCAUGAUAGGGGAGUAACCAGAGUAGAGGCGGUUUUUAGGGGAAAAGUAUCCAAAUUACCAUGCUAAUAGUGACCGAAAAACAUGUUAUUUAAGAAUAAUCUAGUAUAUAGUGAUCUAAGAUGAUCAUAUUUUGUUAUGUAUAUGAUUGAAGGGAAUAUUUUGAAAAAUAGCAUCAUAUGAAAAAUGAAUAAUUAUUUACCUGAUGAAAUGAUAGAUGAAUUUAAGAUACUUGUUUUAUAUGUACUUAAGGAUAUAGAGAUAGUAGAUAUGAAGAAA
rnacentral:lncRNA from 1 species